UAUACUCUUUGUGAAUAGAGGUGAAUAGAUUACUUAAUUGCAAGUCUGAAGAAGGCAUUAAGUGUGUUUUUUUUUUCAAAAUGCGAGAUCACCCGUUAGGAUGCCUAUAACAAUAAUUUUGUUUGUUAUUGUUUGUAUUGUUUAGUUUUCUUUCUGUAUAUAUAUAUAUAGGGUAUCCAAUAUUCUAAUUCAGGUGAACCGGCCGACAUUGCUGGUGAUAGGAAGGGAAAGGGUCUGCAACAAAGCGAAGGCAAGAAAUUGUAUUUUGUAUUCGAUCUAUUCUGUUAGCAUAAACAUUGGCCGGAUUUUAGAUAAACGAUGCAUACUCUACUUUGGACUCUACAAUUUCAGUGUACAGCGCAACCCUUGUGUAGAGAUCAGUAAAUAGUUAUGAAUUCCGCUUAACAAAUUCGUACAUGGCAUACGCUUUGGACAUGUUAUAAAUACAGUGGUCUGAGAUUUUACAUUUUUAGUCAUCACACCCAGAUUCCUGUUGCAUUUGCAGAGGUUGUCUAUCAAUAUUAUAAGACGUGAUGAAAUUAUACUACUGUGGGCAAAAAGUAAGGAUCAGGGCCAAUCAUAUGUCAAUACUAUGGAAUAUGUGCUUAUACCAUUUGAACCAUUUGUGGCGUCUUAAAUGACCCUUAUGGUGUGAAAUUGAAAGGCACAUGGGCCGACAUCUGUCUUUAAGUGGUCAGGGUGGGGAAGAGAUCACAUAAAAGGAUAGGAAAGGAAAUAACCCUUAAAAGGCCCAGCCAAGUGCUAGGUACAAGUUUUUGAAAAAUCAUUUGAUUGUUGCACUCUUUUCACCUUCUCAUUUAAUGUAAUAGUCCUUUCCCCUUGCCAAAGGCUUCGGUAAGUUGACCUAAAAUCUAGUAACUUGAACAACACAUUUUGAAAUUGUAUUGUUUUAUGAACAAAGCCGUUUUUCAGCGGUGCCUUUUUCAUCACAGUAUUCAGAUGAGCUAAGGAAAAGUGUCUGAUUUUCCAAAUGAAUUUCGAUGAACUCUCGUUAGCUGCCGCACACACAAUUAGAAAUUUAAUCUUCGCUGUGUUCGUGCAAUAAGUGUGUCGAAAAAAAUAAAAUAUGGAAAGAAACACCCAAAAAACACGAAGAAAGUCUGCAGAAAAAAUACUCCAAUCCAACCUGUGGAGGAUCGUCAAGUAUUGUGGGACUUAAGCCACUUGGAGCCUGGUUGAUGUGUAAAGAGAACCUGGGAGGAGAUAGCGCAGAUCAUGGAUAAAGAUUUUACAGAACUACCUGCAUCGGUCCGAUUGACCAAGAACAUUUUUUUGUGUGUGGAUACUGAAAAACCAACUGAAAGCGAUCUUUCACAUACAAAUUUAAAAUCGUUGGUUUUAUAUAUACCCUAAUCGAACGGAAAACCGCUCUUAACGAGUUAAAAAUCUAGCGACGAUCGCACCCUCAACAAACAAAAGUUCUGAUAUUUACGGGCAAGCUAGCUGUGGACAUUACUUGGCCUGUAACUGCAGUGAAAUCCAGCAUCCAAAGAUUCUUCACAUAUUUGAUAAUAAAAGGUUUGGCUAUUGGUAAAUUCCUCAUGUCAACGGAGCUGGACAUAAAUACUUCUGGAAGCGUCACCUAAGUGACUUCGAGAAGUGUCGCCGAAGGGGCACAUUUUAAAUCCUAGUACUCAGAUCGGCUAAGAGUUUUACUAGUCCAUAAAACUUGUUGUUUGUAGUGUGACAGAAGUUUUCAAAGUUUACCCGCAACCGUCAAACGAAAAACAAAUCGAUUGGAGCAAUUAAAAAAGAUCCAGCUGGUGCAC